rnacentral:rRNA from 1 species
GGGUUGCCUGUUCAUGGGUGUUGUUUGAGAACUCAAUAGUGUGUUU